UUAUUCAUUUUAUAUUUUAUUGUAAGCUUAACCACUUAUCAUAGCAUAUAUUUGCCUGGAAUGAAAUUAUCAUAUCAUUGUAAUAUGUGCCAAUUAUGACGUCCUAAAUGUACAUUUGUCGAGAGAAGAAUCGGCCACUGGUAGAAGAAGGUUGUUUAUACAACCAUACUCGCAUUGUUUUUGUCAUAUUUACACUUCAUUUGAAAUAUAUGAUUUGUUUAUUCAAUCUAAAAACAAGUCCAUUUAAAAUCCGGUUCCGUUGCCUAGGUAAUGCCGAAAUCGAGCCAGACGCUCAUACUUAAGAAAGGCGUAGUGACGGAGGAUGAAGUGCGACCGACGUCGUCGGGACAUCGGUCGGGAUCUCAGUGCUCUGUGCCGACAGGUGUGAGAUCGGGUCCACAGUGCGCGUUCCGUACCCCGGCCCGCUGCAGCAUCGUGACCGUCUACAACUCGGAGCAGAGGCUUGUGGGAGUUGGUCGGGACGUGCCAAACCGGGACGCUGUGUAUACCCUCAGGCGCGAGUCUGCGCAACUCUUCAGACAUCAAACGCUACCAAGGGGUUACACCAGCAGCCUCGCAUUCGUUCCGGACUCGAAAUCAUACCAUUGGUGUGCACUGGGCGGGACUGGUUCCUCCACGGAAGUUUAUAACGUGAACAGCCGGCCCACUUCCGGCUGAUGUCGGCCCUUCACCGCCGGACCAGACAGAUCGUCCAUCUCUUUAGAGCAGCCGGUCAGUCCUUUCCAGUAUCAGAAGUUACUCGCUCUUGGUUUCCGGUCCAGUACCCUCUUGCUGGACCCGGACUGCGUGUAUGACGCCACCAGCCACCGCGCUUGUAGUACGCAUGCGCCGCGAUCCCGGAAGGAAAGCCCGCAGAAACCGGACGCAACAAGCGGGACCGCGGCGCGGAGCGCUGAUGAUCCACAAAUUCGCUUAAGCCGGUGCAGCCCUCAUGGUUUCAGUGACGCGGCAACGCCGGAUGAUCUAGCUUGCCCUAGGCCGAUGUCAUGCGCAGUGACAAUAUCGACCGGAUCGCCCCAAGUCUGCACAUGCGCAGUGACACACCACCUAGUCGUCCGAAUGCCGCAGUUUUCAGUUUCCGGAACAACGAAAACGUGUGUCACUCGAAGGUGCAGCACCUUAUACAGACUCAACGUUCCGGUGCAACGUGUCCAGUUCAAUCCCCUCGAUAUCCGGUCAUCGCGACCAGGUGUCAAAUCCUGCUGGGUCGUCGAAAUUUGUACUUCAGCGGAUGUGGAAAAAUCUAUACAGUUGGGACUUAAGUGGGCACUGACCUGUUGGUGUUUUAUCCGCACGAUGACGUCAUUAGACGCGAAACUGCGACCUAUAGAAACUACAUGGAGGUUGUUAACGCCCACGCAGUGAUCGCGGCGUCUGCUGAUAACGCAGUGCGCGGGAAACUUUAACACGAAGUUUCCAACGGUCGAUGUCACUCGCAACCUUAAAGCUAUGAGCUAAUUGGAAUUGACUUUUUAUCCCCCGCCAUAGGCGGAGGGAUAUUGUUUUGGCGUUGUCCGUCCGUCUUUCCGUCUGUCCUUUCGUCCGUCCGGCACUUUUGUGUCCGGAGCCCUAUCUUUAAAGUGCUUUGGCGGAUUUCUAUGAAACUUGGUAUGAGUAUAUAUAUAUGGAUAAGAGGAUGUUGCACGUCUAAUGGCAUUCAGGGCCGUACCCAGGAAAUGUUGACUGGGGGGGCCCAAACGGGGAGGGUGCGGGAGGGGUUGCCCCUCCCAAUAGAUUUUUGUUAUUAGGCACUGUUCAAGGUGAAUUUUAAUGCAUAUAGAAACAUAUGUUGUGUUAUAAAUUUAUGGAUAUAUAACAAGUAAAUCAGCACCUUUCUGAAGUCUAAAGCUUUAACCAUUACGGGCCGUCCAUAAAGUAUGUCACGCUCCAGGUGGGGGGGAGGAUGAGUAAGAAAGUGACAGUUUGUUACAUGGGGGAGGGGAGUCAGGCCACGUGUGAUGUCACACAUUUAUUUAAAAAAUGUAUAAUUUAUUUAUUAUUUCUUUAGUAGAAUUUAAAACUAAUUUUCAAAAAUUUGUGAAACAUUUGAAUUAGUUUUAUGUCAAAAUAAGACGAAUUGCGUAUCUCCUGAUUCUGUUGUUCGAAUGUUUUAUAGGCAACUUGGCUGGGCCGGCUUAUUCAAUAGGCACAACCUCCACACAGAUUUCAAUGACGAAAUAAUUGGACUGUUCCAUUUUUAGUUAGUAAAGGGUUGAAAGAAAAUCUAAAUUAUAAUUUCGUUUUUAUUAGAGGUUAACACGUGGAUAAAUAUUCAUACUGCUCAUCGUAACAACCCUACAGUUAUAAAAGCCUGUAAUGUGAAAGUUCUUUUACCGGUAAGUGAAAUUUCAAUACGGUUUAAUAGUGAAUUGAGUUUGAGAUUAAAUUUUAAUUAAGUAUUAAUUUUAAAAAAAUGUUUGAAAGUGUGAGUUUGUUACGUACUUUAGGGAAGGGGGUCCAAGAUUGUGUAACAGUUUGUGACAUGCCGGGGUAAAAAUGGGAAAAAAAGCGUGACAUGCUUUAUCAACGACCCCUUGGUGUGAAAUGCACACACAUACACACAGUAAAAGCAACCUUUGAAACAAAAAAAUCUUUAAUAUGAAAUGUAAACAUAAAGUAUGACUGUAGAGGAGGUUUGAUUUCAAAGAGAAAAUACUGCUAUGGUUAUUUGUCAGUAACUGACAUAACCUACUAGUAUUUUCUCUUUGAAAUCAAACCUCCUCUAUAUAAAAUUAAAAACUAAAUUCAUUAUAAAAUGUUCAUCAUCUACAAGACAGUUUUCACAGAAAUGUUUAAUAAGCUGUGACUCUAGAGGAGGUUUGAAUUCAAAAGAGAAAACACUAUUAUCGUUCAGACCUACGACCUUCUGUAUCAGUUCCAUCCAUUCGCUGUUUCUCUUUCCUUGUCCAAUCAAAAGACGUGUUACACCCACCAUCAAAAGAUGAAGCAUUGAGCACAAUGGGUAAUUGACAGAUCGGGGAUGUGUGUACAAGGUGAUAAGAAAACAAUGCCUAGGGGUUUAUCUCCACUGGCGAGUAAAUUAGCGCUAAUCCCCUUGUGUAUCAGGGGCAAUAAAACAAAUCUGCACAUUUGUAUUGCAGGGUGUACUGUGGGCCCUUUCAUGUGAGAAAAUUUGCAGUAGGCCCAUUAUUAAAAAAUCAUAACUCGACAGCCAGUUGGGGGGGCCCGGGCCCCUGGGCCCAGUGCCUGGGUACGGGCCUGGGCCGCAUUGUACACCAUCUGUUAAUAACAGAGUUAUGGCCCUUUGUAUCUUGGAAAAAUGCUUUUUUGUGUCCGGAGCCCUAUCUUGGUAGUGCUUUGGCGGAUUCAAUUAAACUUGGUAUGAGUAUAUAUAUAUGGAUAAGAGGAUGAUGCACGCCUAAUGGCACUGUACACCAUCUGUUAAUAACAGAGUUAUGGCCCUUUGUAUCUUGGAAAAAUGCUUUUUAGUGUCCGGAGCCAUAUCUUAGAAGUGCUUUGGCGGAUUUCAUUGAAACUUGGUAUGAGUAUAUAUAUGGAUAAGAGGAUGAUGCACACCAAAAAGCAGUGUACAACAUUGGAUAAUAAAGGAGUUAUGGCCCUUUGUAUCUUGAAAAAAUGCUUUUUUGAGUGUCAAAUAUAACACUUUUGUGUCCAGAAGCAUAUUGGCGGGGAUAUCAAUUCAACGAAUUUGCUUGUUGAAACUAUGUCAUCAUGUUAAUUUGUGUCGUUUGGUAUAUGUACCAUAGCAUGUACCAAUAAUGAAUCGAUUUUUCAGGUUAAGAUUCAAGAGGGAUAAUUUCAUUACCGCCAUUUUAAUUCAACCAUCCACAUACAUUAAGGCACAACUAAGCUUCCCUUUUGUAGUUUCAGUUUUUGUUUGUUUUAAAUACUCAUAAAUAUAAUACAUAUAUUGAUAAUAAUAACGUAUAAUAUAUUGAAUCAUUUCCCACUUCAAACACACAAUUAUAUCAUGUAUACAUUAAACAGACUUAGAACAACUAUAAAUCAGAUUUGUUGUUAAGACAUUUUAGUUUAGGGCCCUCUCUUAUCAAAUAACGUCAGACACAUUUUGUGGACAGACCUACCAACAGACAGACAGACACGAUGAUGGACAGAGGGUAAGCCUACAGCCACCUAUAUCGGAAUACAUCUCUGAACACAAAGUCGUGUGUUUUUUUUUGGAUCCAUACUAACAAAACAAUUUAUUUGAUUUUGUAACAUUAUAUACAAUAAACAAAUAUGACAUGACACACAUAUAUUAUUUAUACUAUAAAAACAGCAUGUUUAAUAUAUCUGCAUUUUUAAUAUAUCUUCAAAACAAGAUUUUGGUACCAAAUAUAUAUUUAUAACUUAUAACGUACCAUAAUAUAUUUCCCUUUGGUAUCUUUACCAUAAGCCAUACAUACCAAUAUUUUUUACACCCUAUAACAAUAACAAUAUACAUGAGCCGCGCUCUGGGAAAACGGGUCUUAAUGGAUGUGCAAAGUGUAGUCCCAGAUUAGCCUGUGCAGUCCGCACUGGCUGAUCAGGGGUCAUAAUGGAUGUGCGAAGUGUAGUCACAGAUUAGCCUGUGCAGUCCACACAGGCUGGUCAGGGGUUUUAAUGGAUGUGCGAAGUGUAGUCACAGAUUAGCCUGUGCAGUCUGCACAGGCUGGUCAGGGGUCUUAAUGGAUGUGCAAAGUGUAGUCACAGAUUAGCCUGUGCAGUCC